UACGAGGGGGGCGAGCGUUGUUCGGAAUUAUUGGGCGUAAAGGGUGCGUAGGCGGUUCCGCAAGUCCUGUGUGAAAUCUUCGGGCUCAACUCGAAGUCUGCACGGGAAACUGCGGGGCUUGAGUGUGGGAGAGGUGAGUGGAAUUCCCGGUGUAGCGGUGAAAUGCGUAGAUAUCGGGAAGAACACCUAUGGCGAAGGCAGCUCUCUGGGACGGUACUGACGCUGAGACGCGAAAGCGUGGGGAGCGAACAGG
rnacentral:rRNA from 1 species